AUUGAACGCUGGCGGCAGGCCUAACACAUGCAAGUCGAGCGGAGCGGCGGACGGGUGAGUAAGGACUAGGAUUCUGCCUGGUAGUGGGGGAUAACGUACGGAAACGGGCGCUAAUACAGAAUACUAUCAGAUGAGCCGAGGGCGGAUUAGCUAGUGGGUGGGGUAAAGGCCUACCAAGGCGACGAUCCGGAACUGGUCUGAGAGGAGGCUCAGUCACACGUGAACUGAGACACGGUCCCGACUCCUACGGGAUGCCGCAGUGGGGAAUAUUGGGCUAUUGGCGAAAGCCUGAUCCAGCCAUGCCGCGUGUGUGAAGAGGGUCUUCUGAUUUUAAAGCACUUUAAGUUUGGAGGCGUUACCCGCAGAAGAAGCACCGGCUAACUCCGUGCCAGCAGCCGCGGUAAUAC
rnacentral:rRNA from 1 species